rnacentral:misc_RNA from 1 species
GGCUCCUUGAAGGUGCAGAUGGAACUGUAGGAGUAGCAAGUUGGCUAUUUGCUGCUCUGCUGGCACUAUUUGUAGGACUAGCGACAUCUUUCGGAGAGGAGGACAAGGAGGACACACCAUUUUCCCACCCCGGCUUGAGAACAAAAAGCUUCCCAUGAGAUGUCUUUAGUGCAUCACCUUUGACAUGUCCCCCAAGAACAGUUUGAUUGGCA